UCUACCUUGGAUUAUUGACGGAAUUUAAUCCGUCACUAAUGUUAGGCGAAUUGAAAGAACCGACAGUACCCUUUUUUUAACACACAAACACGGUACACCCUCACUCUUCUCUCUCGCCGAUCUCUGCCUCCCCUCUUCACCUUCGCCAGUUGCAUGCCUUUGAUACUGACAUCCCUCAACCUCAACACCUCCUUGUAUCUCAAGUCUGAUCUCAUUUCCGCCUCUCAUCCUCAACCUCACCCAAGAUUCAAUCAAGUUCAACACCACACAACAACACCGUUGCAUCAGAAAUCUUGUCUCCUCACUGCUGCCUCAGGUGGAGCUAGCAACAAUUUUUAAGGUUGGGAGGGAUUUUGAUUUAGAAGAUACCCGUAAGUGUGAGUGUACUUGGGGAUAAUCUACCUACUAGUGAAGUUAACUUGUUCGCAAGCGGCGUCCCACUUACUACUUCACUAGCUCUUAGCUCACAUUUUAUUACUUUAGUUUCUUUGUGUUCAAAUGUAGUAAAUACACUUAGAACUAACUUCAUACUUGCUGCAAAAACUCAUAUUUAUAGUAAACUUUAUUCAUAUCACGAUUAAAUGCCAAUGGUUACCUUAUACUCAUUUACGCUAAUGACAGUACUGCAUGUCAGGAAUAUUUUGCCACUAAAAAGAAAAUAUAAUAAGUUUAUGCAUUGUAACAAUUUCCCCAGAACCAUGAACUCUACAAUGAAGAUUGCAGCUUCCUGACAUUUAAAGCUAAAGUGAUCUAUACACUAACUCACAUACCUCCUAGCAUCUAUACAAUAAUCAUGAUCCCUGACACUUAAUAACCUUAAACAAUUGAAGUUUGUCUUCCUGGUAUUUACACCUUAUUAAGAUACAACACAACAAUGCAAUGUUGAAGCAUUUAUGCAGCCCAAUUUAGAGUACAUUAACAACACUAAAGCAUGGUAAACAAUAGGCAUGAAGUUAAAAUAAGAUUCUGCCAAAACAUAAUCCAUUUCAAUCACAAAUGCUAUCUUAAUAGCAUGGUGCAAAGAGAACUUGGUUGUUACAAGUCAUACGUUGUAUUUGACAUGGUGCUUUCAGGGUUUACGAGAAGCAAUAAAUAAUGGUGACAUUGCUGCUGUCAAAAAACUUCUUAAUGAGGGUGUGGAUGCUAAUUAAUGAGGUCUGUAGGCGACAGUUUUCAAUCAAACCGAUAUAGUUUUCAUUCUUGUGGAUUCGGGGGAAAAUCUGGAGUAUAAAAAUGCACAAGGAGAAACACCUUUAGAUUGUGCUCCAGCUACAUUAAUUGCAAUACAAAAUGAAAAUGAAGAUGCAAGAAAGUGGAGCAGUGGACCAAAGGAUUUGAGUAGUCUAAUACUUUUAUUUGUAGUCUUCUUAUGCGGUGCCCCAAAGAAUCGAUGCAAAAAAAUUUCUGUGGAGGCUGGUGGAAAAGGUUCUCUGCCUUAGAAAGAUGUUUAUGGGAAGGCUGGUGGAAAAGGUUCUGCCAAGAAAGAUCUUGGUAGUGGGAGAUCAUCGGAAAAUCACGAUCGAAUUUGCCCGAAUAUUAUGAUAAUUAGUUUAUUUUGUUAGUUUUCUGGUUUAUACGAAUAUUAUUGAAAUAUUUAUGACUUUGUACGAAAAACUAAUUAUGGAUUGUACGGAUAUUAUCAUGAUAUGUGUUGCUUAAUUAAUUUA